rnacentral:pre_miRNA from 1 species
GCAGCCUGUGGUACUCAAACUGUGGGGGCACUUUUUGUUCUGGAGUAAAGUGCCGCCAGGUUUUGAGCGUUACCGGUUGA